GACGAACGCUGGCGGCGUGCUUAACACAUGCAAGUCGAACGGAAAGGCCCCUUUGGGGGUACUCGAGUGGCGAACGGGUGAGUAACACGUGAGUAACCUGCCCUUGACUUCUGGAUAACUUCAGGAAACUGGGGCUAAUACCGGAUAGGAAUCCUUGCUGCAUGGUGGGGGUUGGAAAGCUUCGGCGGUUUUGGAUGGACUCGCGGCUUAUCAGCUUGUUGGUGGGGUAGUGGCUUACCAAGGCUUUGACGGGUAGCCGGCCUGAGAGGGCGACCGGCCACAUUGGGACUGAGAUACGGCCCAGACUCCUACGGGAGGCAGCAGUGGGGAAUAUUGCACAAUGGGCGGAAGCCUGAUGCAGCAACGCCGCGUGCGGGAUGACGGCCUUCGGGUUGUAAACCGAUUUCAGCAGGGGCGAAGCUUGUGGUGACGGUACCUGCAGAAGAAGCACCGGCUAACUACGUG
rnacentral:rRNA from 1 species